rnacentral:rRNA from 1 species
AUUGAACGCUGGCGGCAGGCUUAACACAUGCAAGUCGAGCGGAGCGAGGGUGCUUGCACCUUAGCUUAGCGGCGGACGGGUGAGUAAUGCUUAGGAAUCUGCCUAUUAGUGGGGGACAACAUUCCGAAAGGAAUGCUAAUACCGCAUACGCCCUACGGGGGAAAGCAGGGGAUCUUCGGACCUUGCGCUAAUAGAUGAGCCUAAGUCGGAUUAGCUAGUUGGUGGGGUAAAGGCCUACCAAGGCGACGAUCUGUAGCGGGUCUGAGAGGAUGAUCCGCCACACUGGGACUGAGGCACGGCCCAGACUCCUACGGGAGGCAGCAGUGGGGAAUAUUGGACAAUGGGCGGAAGCCUGAUCCAGCCAUGCCGCGUGUGUGAAGAAGGCCUUUUGGUUGUAAAGCACUUUAAGCGAGGAGGAGGCUACUUAGAUUAAUACUCUGGGAUAGUGGACGUUACUCGCAGAAUAAGCACCGGCUAACUCUGUGCCAGCCGCCGCAGUAAUAC